CCUCUCUCCAACCUUACCUCUUGCCACUCGUCCCAUUCUCCGUCUUCUCUUCCUCUCUUGGACCCUCGUGUUAUCUCCUGCUCUUGCUGCCAUGACUGCUGUUGAGGGCCUAAUUUCCCAUGGAUGCUCAAGUUUGGCUCCGAGGGCAACCACACUUUCUCCGUCGGCCUGGCGCCAACACCAUCCUCUUCUUCCUUCCUAGGGCUGCAGCGCUAUUCCUCUCAGGUGCAUGGACGUCAAGAACCAUCCUCACCUGCAUUUCCGCAAUCAGUUUCACAUGCAGAGCUUAACUUCUGGCAGAAUGAUUCUGUUUGCCACCGCUUCUCACGAAGGAUCUGUUUAGAAUGUGUCUAUCUUUUUUCAUGAAUCAAAAGUGGUCUUAGUUCUCUUGAGGUUCUUGGAGUUGCUGCAAUAGAAGACCGCUGCAGGAAGGUGUUCCUGAAACAAUCGAUCUGCUUCGGGAGGCUGGAAUCAACUUUUGGAUGCUUACUGGUGAUAAACAAAAUACAGCCAUUCAGAUAGCGCUCUCUUGCAGCCUAAUUUCUCCUGAUCUUCAGUAUGUGGAUGAAGGGAAGACGCCCUUGAUCUUGUUUUGUGCUGCUGUUGGUGGAGACUCAGGCCUGCACAGAUGGUGUAGGCAUACGUGAGGAAGCUAAUAGGAAGACUGCUACCAUCCAGAUCUAAUAAUCAUGCAGAGCCAAAAGGACAGCUUUUGUUAAUAAAUGGGAGGACAGAAGAUAAAGUUGCAAGGAGCUUGGAAAGGGUGUUGCUUACAAUGCGAAUAAGCACCUCGGAGCCUAAGGUUUUGAGGAGUGCUUUCAAAAAGAUGCACAUCUAUGUUCAUUAGGUUAUUCAUAUGAGUGGAAUGAGUAGUAUAUACCAUGUUGCAUGGAUACUUAUGUUACAUUGGUAUGGAUACGAAUGCCCGGUGUGGGUGUGAUUGUUCAAUUGAGUGUUUAUUCUGUUUUUUGACGUGCUAAUAUCAUUUGUUUUUAUUGGAGGACAUUGAACUUUUAUUUGUAGGAUCGUUUUUGAAGUAGACUAGGAAUUGUAGCUGUUGUCCUGUGUUUCUGAUAGAAUUUUCACCAAAUUAAAAAUCGUUUUUAAAUAUGAAAACGACCUUUAAAAUUUUUUGCUUUUUUUUUUUUUUGUAUCUAAAACUUCUUUGGCAUAUGUAAAGUGGCCACCAGUUUUCAGUUGGACCAAUUAGGUUGGAUUUGCAUCAUUAUUUAGUAGUCUUCAUUUUUUUUAGAAUUUUGGAUCUUUACUCAUUAAACUCACACGACAUUGGUGGAAAGGUUUGCUUUGUUGUUUUCAUUUUUUUUUUGAGUGAAAUUUUAGAUCUUAUAGUUGGUAAGGGUUCAACUUAGUAAAUAUAGGUUCACUUCUUCAUUUUUAGGACGUGUUUAUGUUCUUAUAAAUUGUUUUAUUUUUUUUGCUUGAAUUCUCGAUUUAUUUAGCAUAGGGUGCAAGGAAGGAGUGUUCAGAUACGUGGGGAUAGAGUAGAAUAGAUGAUUUGUAUUUGAUUUUUGAAUUCGAUAUCUCAACUUUUGAAUUGGAUAGUUUGAUCUUCCCUACUUUUAUAGGAGAGCAUAUGGAGUUCUUCUUCUACCCAACUGGUUUCAUAAAAACUCCUCUUUUGUAGAAGGAGUUCCUACUUCCAGGUGAUAUGCCAUUUGAUGUCAAGUAGUUUUUUGAAAGAAAUUUUUUUAUUGUGCCUAAAAACAUUCUAAAAGUGUCUUAUCAUGCAAUGAUAUGCCUUCGUUUUGUUCUUAC